rnacentral:rRNA from 1 species
CCGCACAAGGCAGUGGAGGCAUGUGGUUUUAAUUCGAAGCAACGCGAAGAACCUUACCAGGUCUUGACAUCCUCUGACAAUCCUGGAGACAGGACGUUCACCUUCGGGGGACAGAGUGACAGGUGGUGCAUGGUUGUCGUCAGCUCGUGUCGUGAGAUGUUGGGUUAAGUCCCGCAACGAGCGCAACCCUUGAUCUUAGUUGCCAGCAUUCAGUUGGGCACUCUAAGGUGACUGCCGGUGACAAACCGGAGGAAGGUGGGGAUGACGUCAAAUCAUCAUGCCCCUUAUGACCUGGGCUACACACGUGCUACAAUGGACGGUACAAAGGGCAGCGACACCGCGAGGUGAAGCAAAUCCCAUAAAGCCGUUCUCAGUUCGGAUUGCAGGCUGCAACUCGCCUGCAUGAAGCCGGAAUUGCUAGUAAUCGCGGAUCAGCAUGCCGCGGUGAAUACGUUCCCGGGCCUUGUACACACCGCCCGUCACACCACGAGAGUUUGUAACACCCGAAGUCGGUGGGGUAACCUUUAUGGAGCCAGCCGCCGAAGGUGGGACAAAUGUUUGAGGGUGAAGUCGUAACAAGGU